rfam:Orchesella cincta Ocin01_Sc0118, whole genome shotgun sequence.
CCAACGGCCCUUAUAAGGGCCACCAUAUACUCCAAAGAGCAUUUCA